CAUGCUCCCUCUCCAUGUGGGCUGAGCCAGGGGUGUUGAUGAUUUCCAAAUCUUGGACCACGUGGGGUGCUCCAUACUCUUCAUGAUGUCUACUCAGACAUGGAAAAGGGCACGCCAUCCUGCUCCACCUUCCUCGGGGCUUUCAUGGCAACACUGUCCCUGUCAGUAUGUGUUGGGCCAUGGCCAAGCUGCGCUGCCCCAUGACCCACAAGAUCUCAAACCAGCCUAUGAAUGCAUCUUCCAAGGAGGAGCUGGCCAAGAGGCUCUGCCACACCCUUGAACUCAUGCCUUCAAGCCCCUUGUACUCUCGCCUUCUUUCUUUCUUCUGUUAAUAGUUAUGGAGACCAGGACGUCGCACAUGUUAGGCAAGUGAGUGCUCUACUUCUGAGUUACUUUCCUAGCACUUUCUAUUGUAUUUUGGCAAAGGAUCUUGCUAAGGUUGCCUAGGCAGGUCUUGAACUGGCAAUCCCCCUGCCUCAUCCUCCCAACCAAUAAGAAGUGAAGGCAGAUAGCACCAUGCCCAUUGUUAUACGAGUGUCUCUGUGUGUGUGUGUGUGUGCGCGCACUCGUGCACAUGUUCACACAAGCAUGGGGUGGAGAGUGGAGACUGUGCCUUGUUACCUGCUAGACAGUGACCGGCCCUGAUGAGCACAUCUGGUCCAGGAAGGCAGAGCCUCAGGACCUUACCCACUCUUGGUGGCCCUCUUAAUACUGCUGAAUUGGCAUUGACGUUUCAAAAACACUUUUGAAAGGACAUACUCUUCAAACCACAGCACAGGGAAACAGAAGACAAAGGACUUGGUCACCCCUGUACCUGCCCUCCACAAGAGGAGUCCCUCAUGAUGAACUGAAUGACCUGAGGCAUGGACUCAGAU
rnacentral:lncRNA from 1 species